AAAGAAAUUGUGGGGGGUCAAUUUUUUCUCAUUUCAGAUUUCAGAAAUUAAAAAGAAUUAUUCUUCAAAUAUUAUUUUUUUUUCAUAUUUCAAAUAUUGAAAAAUUUCAAGAAGUAAUCUUUAAUUGCACAGUAUGGCGCAUUAGAUUUGUAAAAUCUUUGAUCACAUUUAUUUAUUUGUUAUGCCGAAUCUAACCGUGUAUUUAGAUUUUUAAUUUUGGGUCCAGUUUUCAAAUUGGUCUACAUUAAGGUCCAAAAGGUCCAAAAUUAAACUUUGUUUGAUUUUAGCAAAAAUUGAAUAUAUGAGGUUCUUUGAUAUGCUGAAUCUAAACAUGUAUUUAGAUUUUUGAUUUUUGGCCCAGUUUUCAAGUUGGUCCAAAUUGGGGUCCAAAAUUAAACUUUGUUUCAUUUCAACAAAAAUUGAAUAUAUGGGGUUCUUUGAUAUGCUGAAUCUAACCAUGUAUUUAGAUUUUUUAUUUGUGGACCCCGUUAUCAAAUUGGUUCAUAUUGAGGUCAAAAGGGUCCAAAAUUAAACUUUGUUUGAUUUCAUCAAAAAUUGAAUUAUUGGGGUUCUUUGAUAUUCCAAAUCUAACCGUGUAUUUAGAUUUUUAAUUUUAAGUCCCGUUAUUUAAAUUGGUCUACAUUAAGGUCCAAAGGGUCCAAAAUUAAACUUAGUUUGAUUAUGGCAAAAAUUGAAUUCUUGGGGUUCUUUGAUAUGCUGAAUCUAAACAUGUGUUAAGAUUUUUUAUUAUGGG